rnacentral:rRNA from 1 species
AUUGAACGCUGGCGGCGUGCCUAACACAUGCAAGUCGAGCGGUAACAGGUGUAGCAAUACAUGCUGACGAGCGGCGGACGGGUGAGUAACGCUUGGGAAUCUGCCUAUUAGUGGGGGACAACCCGGGGAAACUCGGGCUAAUACCGCAUACGCUCUACGGAGGAAAGCCCGGGGACCGCAAGGCCUGGCGCUAAUAGAUGAGCCCAAGUCGGAUUAGCUAGUUGGUAGGGUAAUGGCCUACCAAGGCGACGAUCCGUAACUGGUCUGAGAGGACGACCAGUCACACCGGAACUGAGACACGGUCCGGACUCCUACGGGAGGCAGCAGUGGGGAAUAUUGGACAAUGGGCGAAAGCCUGAUCCAGCGACGCCGCGU